GGCCGACUAGCUCAGUUGGUUAGAGCGUCGUGCUAAUACUAUAUUAACGCGAAGGUCUUGGGUUCGAUCCCCACGUUGGCCA
rnacentral:tRNA from 1 species